CCUGCUAAAGUAAGUGACUGUGUGACGAGUUUCUCAUUAGUAAUCAUGUUCUUGCAAGUUUAUCUCUAGUCUAUGCCUUGAUAGAUUUGGUCCCUUGAUUUAAUUCCAUCUUCUUUAGAUCCCUUGAGCAAAAUUAUAAAUAACGAUACCUGGAAUACUUAUCCUGGUGAAAUGCUACAAUGAGGUGUUUUAUCUGUGCGCUUGCGGAUAGAAUAGAUUAUUUUCUAGAGAGCCUUUACAUUUAUAAAUACCUUUGUACACUCUGGCGCCAUGCUAGGGAUGACAACCUAGUAUCUAAGUGGUGUUAGCUAGUGUCAACAAGAGACAUAAUGCAAUUAGAACAAAGAAUUAGAGAAAGAUAUGAAUAAUACCAAUCUUUAUUACCGAAGAUCCGAAUCCAGAGCGUAGUGCUCUACUUCUCUAAUUGCUAUCUAAUCAACCUCUAAACUUGAAGGAUUAGGGAGUAGCUAAUUCUAAUUCUCUGUGGGAGAGAAGCUCUAAACCUUAACUUUGAUGGCUACCUCUGAAUAAUGAUUUCUUCUCUUCUCCUCCAGGGGCCAGGGGGUCUGGUUUUAUAGUCCCCUCAAGUGAACGUGAGCCAUUGGAUCAAACCGACAUAGAUUGUAUGGUUUAGAUUGAUCCUUUAGGUCGGUGGAGCGUAGUUCCAAAGCAGAGUCCUGAUUGGACUCCUGGCCUGGGCGGGCGCCCAAGGGGGGUGGGCGGCCGCCCUGCCCCCGAGUCCGAAUCCCUUCUCUUUCGUUCCCGUGGCUUCUGGACUCUUCUAGAUUGAAGAAAAUUGCGCGGCACGUAAUUAUCUCGUUGUAAACAUGACAUGUGGGCCUUCUCUCCAUAUUCUCUGAUAACCCCCUGCAGAAAUAGAUAAACACCAAAGCUCGUGGAAUUCUGUCAGAUAAAACCCUAAUUCUAGAUGUUUGUUUCAUAUUGAUCCUUUUUCAUGUUUAUUUGAUUAUUAAUUUUAGUACUUAAGGACCGUCAACAAACUCCCCCAAGCUUACCCUUUGCUCGUCCCUGAGCAAACAGCUAAACUCAGACGAAUCAGAAGUUGCUUCGAUGUUUUCUUUCCUGACAGGCACACAUGCUUUUACAUAAAAAUUCUUCCAGAUUAGAGUAAAGUGUUAUGGAGUUUAGUACCUGCACUUAAGUCUUAAGUAAUCGAAAGACAAAAUAGUUAAGUCAAGCACUAUUCCUUCUGUCUAUACUUCACCUUUGUUCUAGAGUUUUUCAUAAGUUUUUAAAAUAAAACUCAGAGUUCCCAGCAAUGAUUCUCUCAAGUCUCUCUAUAUGUGGUAUUUGUGGAUCCUUACCAUGAUAUCAAUUACCUAUAGCUAAUGGAAUAUUUAAGUGGAGCUCAUAGGAGUGAAAAACAGCUCAUACAUAUGUUGUCUAAUCGAGCCAUGGAUCCAAAGGAACUCAGCAUAUAAUUAAAUCAAGAUGUGCAUGUGUGAUGGAGUAAAUAAUAAUGAUGAUGAAAAUGCAUAAGUGAUAAUAAAACUUAGUUCUCAUUGCUCCUUAUAUUGCUAUCUCUCCUCCUCUUUGAUCUUUGCUUUGGGAGAACAUGGGCUAUCUUUUUCUUUUCUUUUCUCUCUUUUUUUUUCAGGUGGGUAAUAGAUACCCCUAAUUCUACUGUCGGACACUUGUCCAUUUUUUCCGCUCAAGUGGGCAUCUUUGUACCCCUAAUUCUACUAAGGACACUUGUCCAUUUUUACCUCUCAUCUCACUCUUUUUCUUUCUUUUUCGAGGUUCCGGGCACUUGCCCCUUUUUAUUUCCUCGCAUAUUUUUGCAUAACCCAUGCCUCUUCUGCAUUGAAUCUUUUUAGAGAGAUAAUAACAAUAUUCGGGACAGUGAGUGAUAAAAUUUUUAGCAAUUUUAAUGAACGGUGAUGGAUGGUGCAGUAGAUGUGUGCAAGUGAAUAUCUUAAUUUAACCACAUGAAAAGCUCCUAAGGGUCAACACAGCUCGAUCAAACUCAAUGUGAAUAUAGUAAAAGAUGUUAUAGCAAGUAUGGCUGUGGUAGGUAGUUUUGUUAUGCUAGGAACUCAUCAUGUGAUUUGUAAGUUUUCAAAAUAAAUCUCCAGAACUUAGUGUAGUAGGAACAAGAUAAACAGUAGCUCAACUUUAUAUCAUGCCUUUCUCUUACCUAGACUUUAGUUUUAUGCUUCCCAAAGAUAGUAAUUUCAGUUUUAGUAAUUCCUGGAAGAACUCUAAUAUAAAAGCUAGGUACUUGUAAGUAAGCAAACAGAGCAACUGUUCAUCAUUUCCAUCAUGCAUCUUUUUGGUCUCUUUUUUUUCUAGAGAUUAAACUUAGCAGAAAAAUAAAGCACACUUAUCUACACACUCUUUUUAUUUUGUUUUCAUGUUUAUAGAUGAAAGCCCAAGUUUGGUUUUGGUAAUUAAUGACACCAAGUUGCUAAUGCCUUGUGUUUAAGUGAUUUGAGUUAGGCAUAGCAACACAUGUGAUGAAGGUGCAUGGUGGCAUGGAAAGGUGGCCACAUGAUUACAAAGAAAUGAAGCAUGAUGUGGAGAUCAUGAUGAUAGACGAGGAGCAAAGUUAUCAAGGCAAAGGUAUAAACAUAGGGUUUUACUUUUGCCGGUCUAAGAUGAGUAGAGAAGUGAUUGACCGGGUUUAGGAUAGAUAGCCGACUAUCAAGAGGGGAAAUCACGGUCAUCUCUCGAAUCAAGUGCUACUAGGUCCAUGUCUUGAGCAUAUGCAUUAGGAUCUAGUAAAGUGCUAACUUAACUCCUUUGGUGAAAAUGUUUGUGAAAAGCUAACACACAUGCACUUUGGUGGUGGACACUUGUUGGUGUUAGCACUUUUUCAAAGGAGGUGGAGUUCCUAGGGUUGAGAGGGGUGUGGGUUCCUCUCUCCCUCCCGCCGAGCUUGCUCGGCGGGAUUCGGCGCUUUUGAGAAAAAUAAGUGUAUAUUUUCUAUUGCGCCGGUGGGAAAUUUGG
rnacentral:lncRNA from 1 species